rnacentral:rRNA from 1 species
GACGAACGCUGGCGGCGUGCUUAACACAUGCAAGUCGAACGGAAAGGCCCCGCUUUUUGGGGGUGUUCGUGUGGCGAACGGGUGUGAAACAUGUGAAUAUCCCGCUCAUGACUUUGAGAUAACUUGAAGAAACGGUCUCAAACACGCUAUUGGAGCUCCUGCCGUGUGGUGUGUUUUGGAAAGUUUCAGCGUUUGGGUAUAGACGCGCGGCUUAACCGCCUGUUGGUGGGGUAGUGGCAUACCAAGGCUUUGACGGGUAGCCGGGCUGAGAGGGUGACCGGCGACACUGGGACUGAGACACGGCCCAGACUCCUACGGGAGGCAGCAGUGGGGAAUAUUGCACAAUGGGCGGAAGCCUGAUGCAGCGACGCCGCGUGCGGGAUGACGGCCUUCGGGUUGUAAACCGCUUUCGAUAGGGAUGAAGCGAGAGUGACGGUAGCUGCUGAAGAAGCACAGGCUAACUACGUG